rnacentral:rRNA from 1 species
CCCUUAGAGUUUGAUCCUGGCUCAGGACGAACGCUGGCGGCGUGCUUAACACAUGCAAGUCGAGCGGUAAGGCUCCUUCGGGAGUACACGAGCGGCGAACGGGUGAGUAACACGUGAGUAAUCUGCCCUUCACUUCGGGAUAAGCGCCGGAAACGGCGUCUAAUACCGAAUACGACGCGCUUUCGCAUGAGAUGCACGUGGAAAGUCUUAUCGGUGGAGGAUGUGCUCGCGGCCUAUCAGCUUGUUGGUGAGGUAACGGCUCACCAAGGCUUCGACGGGUAGCCGGCCUGAGAGGGUGACCGGCCACACUGGGACUGAGACACGGCCCAGACUCCUACGGGAGGCAGCAGUGGGGAAUAUUGGACAAUGGGCGAAAGCCUGAUCCAGCAACGCCGCGUGAGGGAUGACGGCCUUCGGGUUGUAAACCUCUUUCAGUACCGACGAAGCGCCAAUAACGGUGGUGACGGUAGGUACAGAAGAAGGACCGGCCAACUACGUGCCAGCAGCCGCGGUAAUACGUAGGGUCCGAGCGUUGUCCGGAAUUAUUGGGCGUAAAGGGCUCGUAGGCGGUCUGUUGCGUCGGGAGUGAAAACUUACAGCUUAACUGUGAGCGUGCUUCCGAUACGGGCAGACUUGAGGUAUUCAGGGGAGAACGGAAUUCCUGGUGUAGCGGUGAAAUGCGCAGAUAUCAGGAGGAAACACCGGUGGCGAAAGCGGUUCUCUGGGAAUAUCCUGACGCUGAGGAGCGAAAGUGUGGGGAGCGA